GCCAGCAUGGCACAGUGGUUUGAGUGUUGGACUAUGACUCUGGAGGCCAGGGUUUGAUUCCCAGCUCAGCCA